rnacentral:rRNA from 1 species
UACGAAGGGGGCUAGCGUUGCUCGGAAUCACUGGGCGUAAAGGGUGCGUAGGCGGGUCUUUAAGUCAGGGGUGAAAUCCUGGAGCUCAACUCCAGAACUGCCUUUGAUACUGAAGAUCUUGAGUCCGGGAGAGGUGAGUGGAACUGCGAGUGUAGAGGUGAAAUUCGUAGAUAUUCGCAAGAACACCAGUGGCGAAGGCGGCUCACUGGCCCGGUGCUGACGCUGAGGCACGAAAGCGUGGGGAGCAAACAGG